GCCCUGGGCUCGGAGAGCCGGGAGCGAACACCCUCCAGUGCUGCAGUCCCUUUCACUGGAGAGGGAGCCUCGCUCUGGGGGGCCGCGGGGUGCUGCAGAGCCGGAGGGAGCCCACCUCUGCGAGCUCCCUAAAGACACCGAGAGGUGCUCGAUAGAACUCCAUAAAUGUUUACCUACUUGAUGGCUGACUGGCGUCCAGGCGGAUUGUAGAGACCUAAUUUUUUUAGGAUUGUACCUGGGUACUUUUUCUUUGCUGCAGAGGCUGAUCUAUUAAACCUGGAAUAUAAGGAAACGUUCAAAAUUCUGUAGUGUUCAUAUCAGGUACGUAAUAUUAGUGAUUCUGUUAAUCUCUUAAAAUUCACUUUUUCAGCAGAUAAGCAUUAAACUUACGUUGCGGCAUGUUUAAGGCAUUAAAGGGUACUUAGUACAGUAAAUAAAUGGUGUGUUGCUCAGGAUUUGCA
rnacentral:lncRNA from 1 species